rnacentral:rRNA from 1 species
UACGUAGGGGGCAAGCGUUGUCCGGAAUCAUUGGGCGUAAAGCGCGUGUAGGCGGCUUGAUAAGUCUGCUCUGAAAGCCCGGGGCUCAACCCUGGGAGGCGGGUGGAUACUGUCGAGCUCGAGUCCGGAAGAGGCGAGUGGAAUUCCUGGUGUAGCGGUGAAAUGCGCAGAUAUCAGGAGGAACACCAAUGGCGAAGGCAGCUCGCUGGGACGGUACUGACGCUGAGACGCGAGAGCGUGGGGAGCAAACAGG